UCUAAAGUACUAUUUGUUCAUGCUUGAGGUUGUUUUCACCAAACUUGGGUUUUUCCCCAAAUAAGCUGGCAUGACUCUUCAACUUACUUAUAUAUAUAUAUCGCCAAUGAACUCAAAACUAUAUGUCCGUAGACUUGAAGGUUGACGAGAUCCAACAAAUCUUCUCCACUAAGUCAUGUUAAUGAAACAGUGAUCCCGAUUAAUUUACGUAAUUUAUAAAAAGAGGGAAGACAAGGUUGUGAACAGAAAGGGAAAGUGAAAUUAGAUUUACAGAUUUACUUGUGAACACAAGUUGUGAGGAAAGGUUUGAUUGUCAAAAAUUCGGUAACGCAAUGGGCAAUGUGAAGAGUAUAUGGUCCAAAAGAGAAGAGUGUCCGAAUAUUGCUAAUGGUGAAACAAGCUCAAGCACGAACUCACCUUUUG
rnacentral:lncRNA from 1 species